GCUCUGGCCGCCCUGCCCUGCCAGCCCUGCCCGCCUGGAUUCAGCUGCCAGCAGGGUGAGUCCCGGAAGCAGGAGGAGGCUUUGGCCUCACGUGGGAACUGGGCUGAGCCUGGGCAGGUGCACCGAGGUGGCAGGCAGGAGACCGCAUGGGAACCUAUGGGGACGGGCCUGCAAUUUUUCUCAGUGGGACCGGCCAUCCGAUAGAGACCUUGGGAAGGGUGAUUCAGGGCAGGGACAGAGAGUUACCACAGCCAGCCCUGCCCGGUGGGCCACUACUGUCCUGCAGGGACUCGCAGCCCCAGGCCCUGCCCAUCUGGGACCUUUAGGAGCCUCAGCGGGGCGGGGGCAGCCGGAGACUGUGUGCACUGCCCUGCAGACACCUUCAGUGCCCAGCCAGGCCAGGCGGGCUGCCUGCCCUGCGGGAGCUCAGCCUUCUCUCCACCAGGUGCCCCCCACUGUACAUGUCGGGGUCUGAACAGGGUCUUCCAGGAGUCGGAUGGUUCCUGCAUCUGCCAGGCAGGACACGAGAGCUUGGACGAGAGCAGCGGUGAAAUGGACUGUCAGCC
ensembl:lncRNA